rnacentral:rRNA from 1 species
GACGAACGCUGGCGGCGUGCUUAACACAUGCAAGUCGAACGGAAAGGCCCUGCUUUUGUGGGGUGCUCGAGUGGCGAACGGGUGAGUAACACGUGAGUAACCUGCCCUUGACUUUGGGAUAACUUCAGGAAACUGGGGCUAAUACCGGAUAGGAGCUCCUGCUGCAUGGUGGGGGUUGGAAAGUUUCGGCGGUUGGGGAUGGACUCGCGGCUUAUCAGCUUGUUGGUGGGGUAGUGGCUGACCAAGGCUUUGACGGGUAGCCGGCCUGAGAGGGUGACCGGCCACCUUGGGCCUGAGAUACGGCCCAGACUCCUACGGGAGGCAGCAGUGGGGAAUAUUGCACAAUGGGCGGAAGCCUGAUGCAGCAACGCCGCGUGCGGGAUGACGGCCUUCGGGUUGUAAACCGCUUUCGCCUGUGACGAAGCGUGAGUGACGGUAAUGGGUAAAGAAGCACCGGCUAACUACGUG